AUGACUCUCUUAAGGUAGCCAAAUGCC
rnacentral:ncRNA from 6 species